UGCUUUAGACAGUGGUUGCUUUCUUUUCACAGACUUAACUGCCUUGAAGAACUGACUCAAAGCCUGUAGAAAUCAACAGGCUCCACAUUGAACAACAGGUUAUGGAGGAGGCUUGGCAUGCUAAGGAAUGUUUACACCACUUACUGUGACAAAGGAGGGUCCUAUUCAAAGAUGCAUGGAAGUCAGCCAUUUUAUAAGCUUUCCCACCAUCCCCACCAAUUCCAGGUCCAGUUCAUCCCAGGAAUUAAGUGAGGCUACUCAGAAGAAAAGUGAAAAACUGCAGGAUGGCAGAAUUGGGCUUUGGCUUGUCUUGAAUGGUA
rnacentral:lncRNA from 1 species